rnacentral:rRNA from 1 species
UACGUAGGGUGCGAGCGUUGUCCGGAAUUAUUGGGCGUAAAGAGCUUGUAGGUGGCUCGUUGCGUCGGGAGUGAAAACCUGCGGCUUAACCGCAGGCCUGCUUCCGAUACGGGCGAGCUAGAGUUCGGCAGGGGAGACUGGAAUUCCUGGUGUAGCGGUGGAAUGCGCAGAUAUCAGGAGGAACACCGGUGGCGAAGGCGGGUCUCUGGGACGGUACUGACGCUGAGACGCGAAAGCGUGGGGAGCGAACAGG